CUUCGUGGAGCCUGGCGACUGCUUUGGGAAGUCCUGCUGGCAGGCACUCUGCCCCUGGGGGUGUGCAAAGAGUUGUCCAGUUACCUUGAUCUUCUCACAGCCUCCUCCCCAGGGCACCAGGAGAGACCAGGAUUGGAGGACGGUAAAGAACACACUUCCCAGAGGAUUCUUGGAGGUGGCUUCCUCCAGGCAGUAAAUCUACAGCCCAGGCUCCCUGCAUCUUAUGGCUCCAAUCACUUUGGAUCUCAUCGUCGCCUGCACAUUGCCAUACACAGGGAAGGAGAAGAGAUGGAGAAGGCAAAGACUUUCUGAAAGCCGUGGCUAAAAGCUGGCAUGUGUCACAUCAGCUCACAUUCCAUUGUAGAGACGGGGUUUCACCGUGUUAGCCAGGAUGGUCUUGAUAUCCUGACCUCGUGAUCCGCCCGCCUUGGCUUCCCAAAGUGCUGGGAUUACAGGCGUGAGCCACCGCUCCCGGCCUGGCAGGCAUUCUUGAGGCAAACGGGAAAUGGGGUAAGUUACACAAUCGAUACAGCUCCGUCAUCGUGGUUUAAUUACUUUUCCACGUACCAUGUUUCCUGACAGGUAGAACGAUCAGCCUGGGCCUCCGUUUUUCAUUCUACAAAGAAUGAAGUGCAUGAACUGUCCUCUAUAGAAUUGUGGAAAAAGUUGUUUUUAUUGAGUUGUGGUUAUCUUUGUCUUCAUGGUCUAAUUACGGAAAUAAAUGCUUUUCCGAGUCUCCGGGGAUGGUCUGCCCUAGUCCAGCUCUCUGCAGUGUCUUUCUGGGUUUUUCCUCAGUGAACGGGAGGAACAUUGGCAGCACUUGUGGUCUGCACCAAGAACUGAAUCGAAUUUCCAUGUGUUAUUGAAUGUUCACAAAGACCUUGUACAGCGAGUGUUACUACCUCUGGUCAAUGAUUCAACUCAAGGCUCAGAAAAGUCAAGUGUCUUGUCCAGGGACACUUAGUCAGAAGUGAAUCCAAGGUUUAAGCUCAAGUCUGCCUAACUCUGAAUUUCACAGCCUUUUGCUACAUAUGGCGAAUAAUAUAUCCCUGAGCACUAAAGGCAGACUCCAAGGAUCUUGUCUCUGCAAUCAUCAUUCUGGCCAUAAUUUAUGAAAAGCAACCCAAAGUAUGUGAUGUAAUAAAAAGUACUAUCUAUGAGUUUACCCUUCCAAAAAUUGAACUGAAUUCUGAGCUCUAAAUUUGGAAUCAAAAGAACUUUUCUCUGCACUAAUCAUUUGGAACAUCACUUAAAGAAAACAACGAAAAACUGGUGUCCCCUGAGAGAAAGCAAUACAAAACAUUAUGCAUAAAGAAAUCCUUCCAAAAAAUAAACCAAAUCCAGUCAAAUCUCUAGUUUUGACUCCUAGCUUACCGGAAAUACGUGAUGGGAAAAAAAUGAAAUGACACCACUAUGAUUCAAUCAGCCAAAUCCAGCAUAUGCAAAUUUCUACCAGAUAAAUGGUUUAGUUUCUUCCCCAAACAAAUGGCACAAGGAAACGGAGAUGGAGUUCCCCUCUGCCACCCAGACUGGAGUACAGUGGCGCGAUCCUGGCCAUCGCAACCUCCGCCUCCCAGAUCCCUCCUACAACACAUGAGAAUUGUGGGUGCUACAAUUCAAGAUGAGAUUUGAGUGGGGACAAAGUCAAACCAUAUCAUUAGAUAGGACACUGGAGAAAGGCAAGAAAGAAAAGACAUCUGAAGAAUGAAGGGAGCCAAAGAAAUGCCAACAUUUUGCUUUUUGAAGAAAAGCUAAAUUAAAGUCAAAAUGGAUUUAUCAAUUUCCUUGGGUUCGUGAAUGUACAGAACUUUAUUAAGACUGUCAUGCUGUCAUCAUGGCUGGAUCUGAUACGGCCACCGUGGACCUUGAGGUGACCUCGGGAAUGGAGACAGUGCAUGGGAGAGAAUCACAUUGGAAGGGGCCUGGGUUUCUGAAGACCCUGUAAGACAGAUCUCCUUGCAGCCCUGACUGCCCACAUUAGGGCUUUUAUGUUAGGGUGAAGUUACCUUGCAUUGUCAUAUAAGCAAUUGCUAUUUGUGGUGUCUUGCAAAUAAACCUAUUCUGAUCUAGUAUGUUUCCUAA
rnacentral:lncRNA from 1 species